GACGAGCGCUGGCGGCGUGCUUAACACCUGCAAGUCGAACGGAAAGGCCCUGCUUUUGUGGGGUGCUCGAGUGGCGAACGGGUGAGUAACACGUGAGUAACCUGCCCUUGACUUUGGGAUAACUUCCGGAAACUGGGGCUAAUACCGGAUAGGAGCUCCUGCUGCAUGGUGGGGGUUGGAAAGAUUCGGCGGUUGGGGAUGGACUCGCGGCUUAUCAGCUUGUUGGUGGGGUAGUGGCUUACCAAGGCUUUGACGGGUAGCCGGCAUGAGAGGGUGACCGGCCACAAUGGGACUGAGAGACGGCCCAGACUGGUACGGGAGGCAGCGGUGGGGAAUAUUGCACAAUGGGCGGAAGCCUGGUGCAGCGACGCCGCGUGCGGGAUGACGGCCUUCGGGUUGUAAACCGCUUUCGCCUGUGACGAAGCGUGAGUGACGGUAAUGGGUAAAGAAGCAGCGGCUAACUACGUG
rnacentral:rRNA from 1 species